UCCGGUGUACGAUGGCGCCUGAUGCGAUGUAUGCGUCCGGAAGCCCUUUCAGCCUCCAGGCAUGUCCCCACCUGCCUCACAGCCACCGACGCAUCUCACGGCGGGGUUCCAAUUGCGUGCGCGUAUGGAUGCUCCUUUCGCCGCCGCCUUUCUGGCAACUAGUUGAUGUUAUGAUGCAUCGUUGGUCCGGUGUACGACGGCGCCUGGUGCGAUUUAUGCGUCCGGAAGCCCUUUCAGCCUCCAGGCAUGUCCCCACCUGCCUCACAGCCACCGACGCAUCUCACGGCGGGGUUCCAAUUGCGUGCGCGUAUGGAUGCUCCUUUCGCCGCCUUUCUGGCAACUAGUUGAUGUUAUGAUGCAUCGUUGGUCCGGUGUACGACGGCACCUGAUGCGAUUUAUGCGUCCGGAAGCCCUUUCAGCCUCCAGGCAUGUCCCCACCUGCCUCACAGCCACCGACGCAUCUCACGGCGGGGUUCCAAUUGCGUGCGCGUAUGGAUGCUCCUUUCGCCGCCGCCUUUCUAGCAACUAGUUGAUGUUAUGAUGCAUCGUUGGUCCGGUGUACGACGGCGCCUGGUGCGAUUUAUGCGUCCGGAAGCCCUUUCAGCCUCCAGGCAUGUCCCCACCUGCCUCACAGCCACCGACGCAUCUCACGGCGGGGGUCUAAUUGCGUGCGCGUAUGGAUGCUCCUUUCGCCGCCUUUCUAGCAACUAGUUGAUGUUAUGAUGCAUCGUUGGUCCGGUGUACGACGGCGCCUGAUGCGAUUUAUGCGUCCGGAAGCCCUUUCAGCCUCCAGGCAUGUCCCCACCUGCCUCACAGCCACCGACGCAUCUCACGGCGGGGUUCCAAUUGCGUGCGCGUAUGGAUGCUCCUUUCGCCGCCGCCUUUCCAGCAACUAGUUGAUGUUAUGAUGCAUCGUUGGUCCGGUGUACGACGGCGCCUGGUGCGAUUUAUGCGUCCGGAAGCCCUUUCAGCCUCCAGGCAUGUCCCCACCUGCCUCAUAGCCACCGACGCAUCUCACGGCGGGGUUCCAAUUGCGUGCGCGUAUGGAUGCUCCUAUUCGCCGCCGCCUUUCUAGCAACUAGUUGAUGUUAUGAUGCAUCGUUGGUCCGGUGUACGACGGCGCCUGAUGCGAUUUAUGCGUCCGGAAGCCCUUUCAGCCUCCAGGCAUGUCCCCACCUGCCUCACAGCGACCGAGGCAUCUCACGGCGGGGGUCUAAUUGCGUGCGCGUAUGGAUGCUCCUUUCCCCGCCGCCUUUCUAGCAACUAGUUGAUGUUAUGAUGCAUCGUUGGUCCGGCGUAUGACGGCGCCUGGUGCGAUUUAGGCGUCCGGAAGCCCUUUCAGCCUCCAGGCAUGUCCCCACCUGCCUCACAGCCACCGACGCAUCUCACGGCGGGGGUCUAAUUGCGUGCGCGUAUGGAUGCUCCUUUCCCCGCCGCCUUUCUAGCAACUAGUUGAUGUUAUGAUGCAUCGUUGGUCCGGCGUACGACGGCGCCUGAUGCGAUUUAUGCGUCCGGAAGCCCUUUCAGCCUCCAGGCAUGACCCCACCUGCCUCACAGCUACCGAGGCAUCUCACGGCGGGGGUCCAAUUGCGUGCGCGUAUGGAUGCUCCUUUCCCCGCCGCCUUUCUAGCAACUAGUUGAUGUUAUGAUGCAUCGUUGGUCCAGUGUACGACGGCGCCUGAUGCGAUUUAUGCGUCCGGAAGCCCUUUCAGCCUCCAGGCAUGUCCCCACCUGCCUCACAGCCACCGACGCAUCUCACGGCGGGGUUCCAAUUGUGUGCGCGUAUGGAUGCUCCUUUCCCCGCCGCCUUUCUAGCAACUAGUUGAUGUUAUGAUGCAUCGUUGGUCCGGUGUACGACGGCGCCUGAUGCGAUUUAUGCGUCCGGAAGCCCUUUCAGCCUCCAGGCACGUCCCCACCUGCCUCACAGCCACCGACGCAUCUCACGGCGGGGUUCCAAUUGUGUGCGCAUAUGGAUGCUCCUUUCCCCGCCGCCUUUCUAGCAACUAGUUGAUGUGAUGAUGCAUCGUCGGUCCGGUGUACGAUGGCGCCUGAUGCGAUUUAUGCGUCCGGAAGCCCUUUCAGCCUCCAGGCAUGUCCCCACCUGCCUCACAGCUACCGAGGCAUCUCACGGCGGGGUUCCAAUUGUGUGCGCGUAUGGAUGCUCCUUUCCCCGCCGCCUUUCUAGCAACUAGUUGAUGUUAUGAUGCAUCGUUGGUCCGGUGUACGAUGGCGCCUGAUGCGAUUUAUGCGUCCGGAAGCCCUUUCAGCCUCCAGGCACGUCCCCACCUGCCUCACAGCCACCGACGCAUCUCACGGCGGGGGUCUAAUUGCGUGCGCGUAUGGAUGCUCCUUUCCCCGCCGCCUUUCUAGCAACUAGUUGAUGUUAUGAUGCAUCGUUGUUCCAGUGUACGACGGCGCCUGAUGCGAUUUAUGCGUCCGGAAGCCCUUUCAGCCUCCAGGCAUGUCCCCACCUGCCUCACAGCCACCGACGCAUCUCACGGCGGGGUUCAUAUUGCGUGCGCGUAUGGAUGCUCCUUUCGCCGCCUUUCCAGCAACUAGUUGAUGUUAUGAUGCAUCGUUGGUCCGGCGUACGACGGCGCCUGAUGCGAUUUAUGCGUCCGGAAGCCCUUUCAGCCUCCANN
rnacentral:lncRNA from 1 species